GAUGAACGCUAGCGGGAGGCCUAAUACAUGCAAGUCGAACGGUAACAGGUAGCAAUACGCUGACGAGUGGCGCACGGGUGAGUAACACGUACACAACCUGCCUAUGACUGGGGCAUAACUUCGGGAAACUGAAGCUAAUUCCCCAUAACACUGCAGAAAGGCAUCUUUCAGCAGUUAAAGCCCCGGCGGUCAUAGAUGGGUGUGCGUUUGAUUAGCUAGUUGGUAAGGUAACGGCUUACCAAGGCUACGAUCAAUAACUGGUCUGAGAGGAUGAUCAGUCACACGGGCACUGAGACACGGGCCCGACUCCUACGGGAGGCAGCAGUAGGGAAUAUUGGACAAUGGAGGCAAAUCUGAUCCAGCCAUCCCGCGUGAAGGAUUAAGGCCCUAUGGGUUGUAAACUUCUUUUCUCUGGGAAUAAAAACUGGGAUUCAUCCUGGCUUGAAGGUACCAGAGGAAUAAGCACCGGCUAACUCCGUGCCAGCAGCCGCCGUAACAC
rnacentral:rRNA from 1 species